UUCAGUGCAGAGUUGGGCUAGAUAACCUUAAAAGGUCCCUUCAAGCUCAAACAGUUCUAUGAUCCUUUGUCAGAGGAUGCAGUGACAGGGGGUAACAGCCUUAAACUAAAAAGGGAGACUUAGAUUAGACAUUAGGAAGAAAUUCCUCACUAACGAGAGUAGUGUUUGAACAGAUGCUCUUUGUCCUUUAUUUUUUUUAAUAGAUUUAAUAUAUAGAUAGAUAUAUAAAUAGAUUUAAUAGUAAUGCACAUGGAGUUCUCUUCCCUCUGCUCAUUGGAAUUCAUCCAUAAAGCACAUUCUUCUGGAAGCUAGCUUGCACUCUUUAAAUGCCAGUCUGAGCUGUUCUGUAACACAAAGUCUAUAGGAUGAUUGCUUCCCAGUCACCUCUGCUUCAGCUGUGAGUGCUGGCCAUUCUGCCCCUUUCCUGGCUGCCUGCUGCUGCAGAUAACAGCAGGUAAUAGUUUGGCUUUGCUUGCAAUGAGGCAGCUUGCAGAUUUUGAUCGGAGUGGGGCAGCAAAUACUGCUGUUCUUGUGGUGUGGCAGCACCUGAAGUGGAUGAGGUGAAUGCAGUACAUAGCACGUGCUGCUUGCAGUGAAGGAGCUCAGGCCUGGAAAUGUUAGGUUCUGAUCGAUAGCACUGAACACUGCAGAUCUGAGGCCCUGUGAAGAUAUACAGGGGCUUACUGUCUUGGCUGGCAGAGCUUCUACCUCCAGGGUGAAGGGCUUCGAGGUUGAACUCUCCUUUCAUUGUGUUCUUCCAAGAUUGUCACAGAACCAGGAGAGUGCUGUGAGCUUCCCGAGAGCUGGGCUGACAUGCAGGAACCGCUGCUGGAGGGGAUGUGCUUCACUCUGAAGUAUCUAGGCAUGACACUGGUAGAGAAACCCAAAGGGGAGGACAUGGCAGCUGCUGCCAUCCGUCGGAUCGUCGCCACGGCACGGGUGGGAGCUCGCAAGUUCCAGAAGGUGAUUCUGACAGUGUCUCCAAGGGGCAUCUCACUGCAGGACGCCGACACGAAGGAGAUGGUUGAGAACAUCUCCAUCUACAGGAUCUCCUACUGCACAACAGACAAGCUGCAGAACAAAGUCUUUGCUUAUGUUGCUCAGAGCCAGGAGAGCGGGGCGCUGGAGUGCCAUGCCUUCCUGUCACCCAAGAAGAAGAUUGCCCAGGCCGUGACUCUGACGGUGGCCCAGGCCUUCCAAAUGGCACUGGAUCUCUGGGAAGCAGCAAAUGCAGGCUCUAGGCAGGAACAGCCCCUUCACCCUCCAUGUGUCUUGGAGCGCAGUGAGCCCAGCAGAGCAAGUGAGCCAGCUCCCCCGGGGAGCCCUCCCUUCAGACACCAGUUUGGGGAGCCUCUGAAUGCUUGCUUCUUGACUUCGUGCUUCCAGCAUUGGCCCAGUCUGGCAGUGGUUGGGGCCAUCGUUGCUUGCAGCGUGCUCCAGGUGGUUCUCUGCCUGGUCCUCCAGCUGGGACACGCUCACCCUGCUCCAGUCUCUAGGCAAAGGUGUGCUGUGUGCAGCAGCCAUCUCAGCUUGGUGGCUCAUCCCCAGUUCACGCCCUGUGUUUGGUGCUCUGCUGGCUUGGGGAAUGUGAGGAGAACCUUGGUCUGUCUCUUCCCUUGUGUGGCUGUGUCUGAGCUCCAAGGAUUUCAUCAGCCCAGUACUGCAGGUGCCAUUUUUCCCCUUCCUGCUUGUAGACGAGUCUUGUCCUUGUCAUGCCUGGUGGGUGACUGUCUUGUGAAGGUGCUGGGGACAGCCCUGCUGCCCCAGAAGAGGCUCUGGGCAUCCCAGUCUGGAUCCUGGUAGAGACCUACUUUUCUGUUUGUUUGCUUGCUUGCUUGCAAGGAGGAGGAAGAGGAGGAGGAAGAUGAAAACCUUGAUGAAACUUUAUCUGGGUAAGUGGUGAGCUGGUGCCUGUGUGUAAGGAGCACUCUCGUGAGCCCUGUCUUGAUUCCUUCUCCAUGUCCCAAGCAAGGGGUACUGCUGAAGCCACGAGUUUUGUGGGAGCUAGGAUGAAAUCUGUGGGGAAACUUCUGCUGUUUUCUCUGUCUCUGUCAGCUGAGGUUGGAUGUACAGGAAGCUAAGGUAUGGAGAGACAGAUUUUGCAGUUCAACUCUUGCAGUGCGGGGUUGAUACUUACCCUGAGGACUUGAGUACAAGAGAAAUCACUGGGUAUGUUUCUGCCACUCUUUGCUGAGGACAGCCUAUCCAGAUGUGCUUCCCAUGUUGAGCCCAGAGCUGGCCCUUUCCUUCCCCUGAUUUCUGUGGGCAUAGGCCAGGUUGGAUGCCCACUCACGCUGAUGGUGUGGACUAGGAGCUGGGACUGAGCUUGGGAGGAGGUCAGAAGUGGAGAAUUAACCCAUAGGUCUUUGCAGAAAUGCCUGUGGUGAUGGGUUUGCUGAGCCUGUUCCAUUAUGGCUGUUCUCAUGCACCUGUUAAGCCGGUGCCUGAGGGGUCCAGCAAUGUCAGCAGGCUGAGAGUGCUCUAAGUAGGUGUCACCCAGGGAUCAACGUGUGCAAAGUGUGAAGGUGUGUAUGUGUCCUUUUGAUGUGGCCACUUGUUCCUGGGGGAUUCCUGAUGGGAAGAGACAUGGCUUUGCAGCAUCAGGGCAGGAUGGCCUGGGGAAGGGGUUUGGUAGCAAGUAGGUUAGGGCCUUCUGCAGUCUGAGUGCCUAGUACUGCUGGGUCUGCACUGCCAGGGUCAUGAGCGUGGGUCUCUCAGCAGGUGCUUGCUUGGAGAUGAUGGGUGCUCUGUUCUCUUCCAAAGCUGCAUGGAGGAGCUGGGGAGGGGAGCCCAUGGACCAACAGAGUCGGCACCUCCUGUGCCCAGAACGAGCUCAUCUGCU